UCACUUCCUCCAUCAACUGUUAACUGAAGACUCAAAUUGAUGGAGGUUUAAGAGGCUUAAAAGUCAUAAACCAUUUAUACUUGAAGCCCACAAUCUCCUGGAACAGCUUGGGGAUGCUAAACCAAACUUAUGGGCAGCCAGAGUGGGCUAUUCUUACCAUGUUUUAUACCAACACCAAACGAGCCCACAUUGGGCAUGACCUUGGGAAAGAAGUGUGGGUCAAGCU